rnacentral:sRNA from 1 species
GCUGGGCAUGGUGGCACAUGCCUGUAAUCCCAGGGACUUGGGAGGCUGAGACAGGAGGAUUACAAGUUCAAAGUCAGCCUUAGCAAUUUAGCAAGGUCAUAAGCAACCUACUAAGAUCCUGUCUCAA